CUAGACUACUGAGAUGUCCCCAGGGUCAGUCACUCUAGACUACUGAGAUGUCCCCUGGGUCAGUCACUCUAGACUACUGAGAUGUCCCCAGGGUCAGUCACUCUAGACUACUGAGAUGCCCCCAGGGUAAGUCAGUCUAGACUACUGAGAUGUCCCCAGGGUCAGUCACUCUAGACUACUGAGAUGUCCCCAGGGUCAGUCACUCUAGACUACUGAGAUGUCCCCAGGGUCAGUCACUCUAGACUACUGAGAUGUCCCCAGGGUCAGUCACUCUAGACUACUGAGAUGUCCCCAGGGUCAGUCACUCUAGACUACUGAGAUGCCCCCAGGGUAAAUCACUCUAGACUACUGAGAUGCCCCCAGGGUAAGUCACUCUGGACUACUGAGAUGUCCCCAGGGUAAGUCACUCUGGACUACUGAGAUGUCCCCAGGGUAAGUCACUCUGGACUACUGAGAUGUCCCCAGGGUCAGUCACUCUAGACUACUGAGAUGUCCCCAGGGUCAGUCACUCUAGACUACUAAGAUGUCCCCAGGGUAAGUCACUCUAGACUACUGAGAUGU